rnacentral:rRNA from 1 species
UACGUAGGGUGCAAGCGUUGUCCGGAAUUAUUGGGCGUAAAGAGCUCGUAGGCGGUUUGUUGCGUCGGCUGUGAAAACCCGAGGCUUAACCUCGGGCCUGCAGUCGAUACGGGCAGACUAGAGUUCGGUAGGGGAGACUGGAAUUCCUGGUGUAGCGGUGAAAUGCGCAGAUAUCAGGAGGAACACCGGUGGCGAAGGCGGGUCUCUGGGCCGAUACUGACGCUGAGGAGCGAAAGCGUGGGGAGCAAACAGG